UACGUAGGGUGCGAGCGUUAAUCGGAAUUACUGGGCGUAAAGCGUGCGCAGGCGGUGAUGUAAGACAGGUUGUGAAAUCCCCGGGCUUACACUGGGAAUGCAUUGUGAUCUGCAUCGCUGAGUGCGGAGAGGGGGAUGGAAUUCCGGCGUGUAGCAGUGAAAUGCGUAGAUAAUGCGGAGGAACACCGAUGGCGAAGGCAAUCCCCUGGGCUGAC
rnacentral:rRNA from 1 species